rnacentral:rRNA from 1 species
UUUAAAUGGCCGCAGUAUACUAACUGUGCAAAGGUAGCAUAAUCAUUAGUCUUUUAAUUGAAGGCUGGUAUGAAUGGUUGGACGAAAUAUUAACUGUUUCAAAAAAAAUUAUAAUAGAAUUUUAUUUUUUAGUCAAAAAGCUAAAAUAAAUUUAAAAGACGAGAAGACCCUAUGAAUCUUUAUAUUUAAAUUAUUAUAAUUUUAUAGAUUAAUUUUAUUAUAUUAAUUUAUAAUAUUUUGUUGGGGUGAUAUUAAAAUUUAAUAAACUUUUAAUUUUAAAAAAUCAUUAAUUUAUGAAUAAUUGAUCCGUUAUUAACGAUUAAAAAUUUAAGUUACUCUAGGGAUAACAGCGUAAUUUUUUUGGAGAGUUCUUAUUGAUAAAAAAGUUUGCGACCUCGAUGUUGGAUUAAGAUAUAAUUUUAGGUG